ACAAACCUUGGGCUUACCACAUGCACCAAAAGAUCUGCAGCAGUCUGUGGGAUUCUGGACUUCCUCAGGCCAAGGGCUGGAGAGCAGAGUCAUUGACAAGCCCCACUUCGGAGAUGUGCCCUGGAUCUUACAGCUAGUCCUGUCUCACCCUGUGCCUCAUGGAUGCAAUCAGAAUUCCAACAGCAGUCUUUUCAAGGGUCUGUACCAGCUCAUGCACCACCUUAGUGCUGGUUGACCCCCGGCUCUCCUGGUACUGAACUCAGUGGGAGAUUACAAUAAAGAUUCCUAUCUCACACCACUGAACUAACUCCCUCCCCUUUUCCUCCCUCGCUUCCUCUUUUGCUCCCUCCCUUUAUUGUGCAUGAAUAUGUGUGUGCACAUUUCUAUGUAAAUACAUGCGUAUGUAGGUACACACACAAACAUAUGUGUAUGCAUGUGAAGGUCAGAAGACAACCUUGGGUGGAAUUCAUUGGGUGCUUUCCACCACUUUGAUUUAAGACCUGGUAUUUAAUUGGCCUGAAACUUUACCAAGUAGGCUAGUCUAAAUGGCCAGUGGACUCUAGAGACCCACCUGUCUCCAUGUCUCAUCUUCCCAUUCUGAGAUCACAAUCUGGGUUCUAGGGAUCCAGACUCAGGUCCUCACACUUGUGAUGCAAGGGCUUUCCUGACUGAGCUGUGUCUAUGCCCUCCCUAGCAAGCCAUAGUCCAAGUUCUUGAUCCACCUGUAGGACGAGACCUUUUCAGGUCGGUUGCAGAAUCUGUCCCUCCCAGCUCUACUGCAGUGGUAGAUUUAUUAUAGAAUGUCUUCAUUCUCAGGUUGCCAUGGGAUUUCACAUACACUUCAUUCUAUCCUUGGCUAUGAGUGCAAAUGGCAUUGAGCCUCAUGUGGGCUCCUCUUAGUACACAUUGUUAACUUGACAACCAAGAGCUAACGUAAAUGCAGGAGGAAGGAGGGGAGCAGCCCAAGGCUGAGCCUGUGAAGGCAUCAGAGCAUUGGGGAGUCACAUGGGAGGAGUUCAGAUAGGCUCUAGGAUUAAGCUAAGGGAGGGGAAGUUAUACAGGUACAGGUUGAGGUAAAGCCACAGUGGUGUCGAGUCCUUACUCAGGCUGAUGUGGAGGGCAAGUAAGGCAUGGGCCCAGGUACGGAGUCAGUGCAGAGGCUUGCUCUGUCUACAGGAGAGUAUCUGGAGACUCUGAGAGGAUGCCUGCAAAUACAGACAGAAGCCUCCACUUCAGCUGUCCAUCUGCACAGAAGGCUCUUUCGCCAUCACACCAAACUACUCACUCACAACUCCAUCACUUCCUGUCAAGGGACAGCCCCUGUGUGGACCUGAUACUCUUACCUUGUCACCCCAGUCACAGCCUUCAGUGAGUGAGGAAGCCGUGAGCUACACCUGGCCCUUUAUCAGACCAACAAGACAUCUGUCUGAUGGGUGGAUGGGUGGGUACACACCUGAAUGGAUGAAUGUUGUCAUUUCAUCUCUAAUCCAUGGUUCCAGUUGGAUGUUUCCUCUGAGCAUGGCCCAAUGCAGCCUCUUAGACACCGCACACGGAUGCCUGCUCCUUACCCUGCUUGCCGCCAGCCAAGCGCACGUUGCAUGUUUGACAAGUUGGAUGCCGAGUGGAGAAACUUGAAUGCUUUCAUCUAUUUACUUUUACCACAUGCCAUAGAAAUUAAAAAUACAUUGUACCGCAAGUGCUGUAUUUAGUGUCUCCCUUUAAUUACAUUCAAGUGUGUUGCUAAAUAGUCUUGAGGAAACCAUAAUGACCAGCUGUUCUACCCUUUUCCCAUAUGUCAGAGCUGGUGUCUGAAAUCACAUUCUGGGACGGGAAGGUUGUAUAAUUAGACAGUGUACAGUUAACACUUCUAGAUCUCCCCCUUAAACUGUGGGGCCUUUACACUAACAUAUUGUACGAUUCUGCCAGUUUGGCACAAUACAAUUAAGUGGCUUGCCAAAGAGCGAGGAGACUCUCUCAGUACCAUCAGCCGUGCGAUGACAGCGGAAAGUGUGUGCACUAUGCAAGAUUCAGUGUGCUCAGCUGACAAAUACACUUAGGAAGGAGGACUUUAAAUUUUUAAUGUCCCCUCACAGUGCCAUUUAUCUCGUUAGAAUUAGACGUGAAAGUAGCUUAUUUUUAUGAGUCCUUUCAAACAAAGAGGUAUCACCCAAAUACCCAGCAUCCAUUUAAGAAAACAGGAUGUGACUGAAAAUCGCCGGAGUUGGAUGAGAAGACAACCUUCCCUAUGGAUUCUUGUGGGGGAAAUGGGAUUCUUUUUCUACUGCCAAACCAGAGGUGGAAGAUAAGAGAUGAUGGACAGAUAUAAAUAACUGACUGUUGGGGGGUAACCCGCUGCUCCCAGCCGUUGCACCUCUCAGCUUGGAGAGUCACCUCCAACCAUAGUUAUACCUCACCUGAUCAAGUUCAGCAAGCUCUUUGAUUUCUGAAAUACAGACAGACAUCAAAAUAGAAAUAUAAAAUAAAGAGAUGUGUUCUUACACGUUUCUCUCCCGAGGAAAAUGCCCUUGACGGCUGUCCUAAGCCAUGAGUCAAAAAUGCAGCUCGGCUCUCACAUCAACAUGUCCUCAAGAAUAGAAUCAACUCGUGGCCAAGGCUCUCUUCAGCCCUAAAAUAACAAUCACUUUUUGAAAAGCCUGAGAGAGGGAGCAACACUCUCCCGAGAAGACCGAUUUACAGCAUUUUGUCUGUACAGUUUGAAUCUCCGGUGACUUAUUUAGAUGUAAGCGCUGAGAGCUGUAAUCGUUUUAAAUCUUGCUUUGUGGCCUGAGUUAGAAUGCUGUUCAAUUGAUAUUCAGAAUAAUGGCAGCGGUGUGCUUCUUUGAAAGGGACCUGAGCACACUCCAGUGCUUUGGGAAACAGACUCGCCAGAGGGUUAAUCCACAUUUAGAACUUGCAUUAAUAAAAACCCUACCUUGCACCACAGGGUGUGCAAACGA